GCUGGGGCUGGCGAGGCUGGUCGGGAUUCGGCUGCGCUUUUGCAAAGGGAAUCAAUGAAACCCCGGCGAAGGCUAGUCUGGCUGCAGGCGGCUGCGUAGCCCCGUGCUCACUCACUCGCUCGCAGAGCCGCACUCGCGCCAUGCUGACCUUGAACUCCGACAAUUCCUUCUCCAGCCCCCCAGCCUCCCCUCCUCCAAGCCCCUACCCCGCCAGAGCGAGCGCCUCAGUGACAGGGCAACUGUUUUGAUGGUCUGCUCUUCACCUCCCGGCCGAGUCAAAGAGUUGUCUGGAAAGAGCGUGCAAACUGGCUCUGAGCGAUCAGGGAGCUGUGCGAACGUGGCCGCCCCGGCCUCGAGGCUGAGGCCAGUCACUCGGUUUGUAAAAGGCUAAACAAAUGGGUCCCGCAGCAGAGAAACAGGCCACUCUGGCGGUCGCGCUGCCUGCCUGCUUUCGCCCUCCUUCACAAUCACCUGGAAAGCGGGGCGGGGGGCGCCUGUCGACCUCUCUUUAUAGUCGGGUCCUUUUGUGACUCCCAGACAGUAGGGAGUUCGGUGGAGGGGUGGGGGUGUCUGAUGUAUUUCCAGUGUGAUUUGAGCACAAUCUUUGUGUUUACACGCAUGCUUAGAGUCUGUUUGGGUAUCUUUUCUGGGGGAGAAGAAAAACUUUAGUCGCCCGAGGGUUACUUCUCUCCAGAUUCAUAACUAAACGCCCAACUGAGCAAAACUCUUAAUUUUCAACCCCCCCCCCCUUCUUGGCUCCGGCAAAUAUUUACCUCGAUUUAAAUGAUGGUUCUUGUGACUCGGCCGACCGGAAUCAUACCAAAGACUUGUUUAUUUCUAAUUUGCAAAUUGCGGGCACUCUGAUUUUAAAGACUGUUUUUCCGUGAGGAACUUUCAAAAAUCUUGUUUUCUUCCAAAGAACUGGACAUUUCUUAUAGGAAACGGAACUCUUCAGAAAGCAGUAAUCAUUCUAACUCCGGAGUUCCUUAGCCCGAGAACUCGACCACUAUGUUCCUGGAAACAGUCGUGUGACGUUCUGUACAACACUUCCCAACAGGCCCCCUUUCUCACGUUAAAAACGAGAAGUCGUCUUGUCUGAAUGUCCACAGACCCUAGGGAUGCUGACAGGCACUGAAUGGAAGAAGCCAGCCCAACCCGAACAGCUGGCGGGAUCAGCACUGUUGUCCUGAGAUCUGUGGCUGAUAGAGAAGCUGGGGGUGGCCUGGUGAGGGCCCCACAGGCCGCCGCCUGGUGAGAGGGAAGAUACCCCGGGAACAUCCCUGGUGGGCUGACCUGUCUCAGGAGCCCAGCAGACAGCUGAACUGAAAACUCCCUGACCACCAGAUUUGGUUGUUUGGGGGUGCACGGAAGCACCCUGGAGACCUCAGACGUGCGCCAGCCCCUUGAGAAGCAGUAGGUGUCAGAAUGUGAGCCUCGCACCCCAAGAGCACGAUUCCUUUGGGUGAGGAUGGAUUUGACAGCAGAUACAUAGGCCUUUGUUUGUUUGUUUCAACCAACGCUGAGGUGUCACCUUCCCCUUUCACCCCGGGUCCCUCGUACAGGCCCCACACACGGAUUUUCAUUUUCAACACGUAGCGCCCGACUGAGGGAUCUGAGAUCACGACUCAGAAAACGGGAAAGGUCAGUCUGACUAACACCUUGCCUGGCGUCCUGGGAUCAGCAUCCAAGAGCAACAGAUCCGAGAUGGGCUGCAGGCUCCCGGGAGACAGGCGAUUCCCAUGUGUGAGAAAGCCCCGGGGGCAAGGCUCCCUGACGUCACCCAAGUUCAGGACCCAGGGCUUUACGUGACACGGGGGUGGGGGCUGGAAUUCUCCCGGAAGAACACCAGAGCCAGGCUGGUGGGUUCAGAGGGAACGCAGGGGGGAGGGAGAGGAGCCCUUUUCUGCUAAUCAAAGGAGAAACCAAAUAAAACGGAGGGAGUCCAAGAAAAAUACAACGCUAUUGUUCUGGGGCAGAAGAUGCUGGCUGGGAGGCUUCGUUGAGCAAUGCCAGUCACACCCUUUCUCUGUGGGACUGCAGGAAUGUUGGCUGUUUCCCUGGAGGCCAGGUGGGAGGUGGGCAGACAGGUCUAUGGAGAUGAGGAGUUCUUGGAGUUGGAACUCUCUGAACAUCCCCAUGGCCUUGCAGCUGGGAGGCGGACACGGAGCAGCAGGAAUGUGGGUUGAAUCAGGGCCAGGAAGCAGCAAUCACGCUCCAACUCCCCACACUCAGACUUCUCUCCCUCCACUAUGAACGGCGAAGACUCAGUUGGAAAACCUUGGAUGCAGAAUGGCUCGGAGUCACCCACAGUGUCCGUCUGGGUGUCGCGGAAACUGCAUCCCUCUGAGAAAGACCGUGUCAUGAGGGCGCUUUCAAUGUUUUCCAAAGAGCUCAUCCUGCGAUUGGAUUUGUUGGUUCUGAGGUCUCUGGACUUAGGCCAAGGAACGUUAUUACCGAUCUAACCCACAGCGACAUCUGGAUUCAGAACCUUUGGGUUCUCUCACCGCCCCCCCCCCCCCCCCCCAAUCAACUUGCUCUGUGACCUCAGAAAAGCUACACCCCAUCUCUGGGCUGCAAUGACUCUCCUACUCAAAGGUGGUUUUUCAUCAAAAUUCAGCACGUACUCAUUCUUUCUUUUCUCUCUCCCAAGGCUGGGGGGCUUCCCUUAGAGACCCCCCAACAUGCUCUCUUGUGGAGGAGUCUGCUAGGAGUGAGUCCAAAGGAGCUUAGAGUGAGGGAAGGGUUGGAAGUGACCAAGCGCUUUUUGGGCUGAAAGGUGACAGCCCCUUUGCCUUUAAGGAAUCCCAUGCCUUACCCUAGCCACAGAGAAGCGCUCCUCAUCUGUGGGGCACCCACCCUGGCACUUUCGGGGUGUAGGGUUUGUAUGGCAGCCACUACGGAAAAUCUGUCUGAGCUGGAGGCGAGGGAUGAGCCAGCCUGGAAUGCUCCCACAGUCACAGCCGUGUUUACAGGAGAGCAUAUGGAUGGAGUUUAGCUUUGAUACAUUCCCAUCGCUUUUUACAGAAUGAUUUUCCAGCCAAUAAAAUACAUACCUUAACCACU